rnacentral:rRNA from 1 species
UGCGUAGGUGGUUCUAUAAGUUAGGUGUGAAAGUCCCGGGCUUAACCUGGGGAUUGCGCUUAAGACUGUAGAGCUAGAGUACUGUAGAGGGAAGUGGAAUUUCCGGUGUAGCGGUGAAAUGCGUAGAUAUCGGAAGGAACACCAGUGGCGAAGGCGACUUUCUGGACAGAUACUGACACUGAGGCACGAAAGCGUGGGGAGCAAACA